AUAUUUCGGAACUGAGUCUAGUUCCUUCGAUAUCAGUGUAAUCUAAUAAUCAUGAAAUCUGGUGUGUUGGUGUAUAAUGUACUCAGGUGAAUAAGAUGUUACACUGAUAUCGAAGGAACUAGACUCAGUUCGUAGCUCAGU